GGCUGGAUGGUGGAGUGGUCUAACACGCUAGUCUCAAGAAUCAUAUCUUGACCCCGAAAAGGGGAUGCAUGCAUACUAGUCUCGCAAGAGGCGUGGGUUCGAAUCCCACUCCAGUCA